rnacentral:rRNA from 1 species
CGGUGAAUACGUUCCCGGGCCUUGUACACACCGCCCGUCAAGCCAUGGAAGCUGGGGGGUGCCUGAAGUGCGUAACCGCAAGGAGCGUCCUAGGGUAAAACCGGUAACUGGGGCU